CUUCAUCAGCAACGUCAAAAUUAUAAAUUACUGUUAACGAAAUAACCGGCUAUUCGUACAUACAUAAUCUGUUUUUUUUUUUUUUUUUACAAUGCCUAAAGACAAAAAGAAUAGAGAAAAAAAAGUCGCAGCAGUUUACGAAGAUCAUGAGUAUGACUAUGAUCCACUCAUAGAAUAUAGCGAACUCUAUUACUACCACUUUAUGAAUACCGCAUUUGUAGGUAUUACAUGUUCAACGUUUUAUAUAUUAAUCAUGUAUCGCGGGAGCGAACUAUUUAAAUUGUGUUUAUUGACUGCUUCAUGUUUAUGGUGGAUGUUUGUUGUGUAUAAUAUUAAAAAAGGGGAAAAAAAGGCAUGGCGAGUUGGAAUCUUUAAACACAUGACGUCGGAACAAAUUGUACUUUGUUUUUCAAUGUUUGAUUUGAUUUCUUACGUGUUGAUGGCUAUAGCACCUAUGAUAUAUUAGACAAGAUGUCCUAGUUGUGCAAAGAAAUAAUAAUCAAGGAGUACGAGUAACAGUGGAGACACCUCAAGUCGUAGUGUAAACGAUUAGCUUAUUUCCAAAACUUAAAUUCAAUUUUAAUGAUAUUUUUAAGGUUUAUUAGUAGGUACGUUCAAAUGUUAGUUUAUUACUCAGACCUGGGCUUUAUAUUUAAAUAAUUAAUUAUAAUCAAAAUCUAAAAUAGUUAUUAAAAAUAAAAAAUAAAAUAAUAAUUUCAAACACAAUUUUAAUUUUAACUCUAAAUCAUUUUCUAUUUAAAUAUAAAAACAACAAUUUUUUAAUUAGCCGGGUUUUUGAAAUAGCCAAGUUAAAACUCGUUUGAACAAAACAUUAGGUACUUGAAACAGUCAAUGAAAACCGAUUUUAAUUUAUCUAUAAUUAAUUUUAAAUAAUUAUUAUUUUUUCAUUAAAUGAAAAUGCCCAGUUUUGAUUAUACUAUAUAAUAUAAUUUGACUUAUGUAUUACUUAUUAACACUAUUUUAUACUUAGAUAAUGUUCCUUUUGUAUAGCUGGUUAAUGGCUUCUAUCUAUAAGCACCAUAAAAGAUUUUGAACUAGUAAUUUAGUGUCUUAAACUAAGAUUAUCAUUUAUUAGAAU